AUUGAACGCUGGCGGCAGGCCUAACACAUGCAAGUCGAACGAGUGGCGGACGGGUGAGUAAUGUCUGGAAAACUGCCCGAUGGAGGGGGGUAACUACUGGAAACGGUAGCUAAUACCGCAUACCAUCGGAUGUGCCCAGAUGGGAUUAGCUAGUAGGUGGGGUAACGGCUCCCCUAGGCGACGAUCCCUAGCUGGUCUGCGAGGAUGACCAGCUACACUGGAACUGAGACACGGUCCAGACUCCUACGUGAGGCAGCAGUGGGGAAUAUUGCACAAUGGACGCAAGCCUGAUGCAGCCAUGCCGCGUGUAUGAAGAAGGCCUUCGGGUUGUAAAGCACUUUCAGCGAGGAGGCGUUACGCGCAGAAGAAGCACCGGCUAACUCCGUGCCAGCAGCCGCGGUAAUUC
rnacentral:rRNA from 1 species